UCCAUAUCUCAGAUAUAAUAAGCAAUAGGGCUAGUAUAUUCGGUGUAUGGAAGGACUGUAAGGUGUACAUGUCCAACUGGCAGGUGUCAUCUGACCUUGACCUCAUUUUCAUGGUUCAGUGGUUAUAGUUAAAUUUUUGUGUUUUGGUAUGUUUUUCUCAUACUAAAUGCAAUAGGUCUACUAUAUUUGUUGUAUGGAAUGAUUGUAAGGCGUAUAUGUCUAGCGGGCAGAUGUCAUGUGACCUUGACCUCAUUUUCAUGGUUCAGUGGUCAAAGUUAAGUUUUUG
rnacentral:lncRNA from 1 species